UGUGCCAGCCGCCGCGGUAAUACGUAGGGUGCAAGCGUUAAUCGGAAUUACUGGGCGUAAAGCGUGCGCAGGCGGUUCGCUAAGACCGAUGUGAAAUCCCCGGGCUUAACCUGGGAACUGCAUUGGUGACUGGCGGGCUAGAGUAUGGCAGAGGGGGGUAGAAUUCCACGUGUAGCAGUGAAAUGCGUAGAGAUGUGGAGGAAUACCGAUGGCGAAGGCAGCCCCCUGGGCCAAUACUGACGCUCAUGCACGAAAGCAUGGGGAGCAAACAGGAUUA
rnacentral:rRNA from 1 species